AUGCAGGUGAAGGCCCUGGGUGUCAGGGACCCUCCUCACAAUGUGAAGGUCCAGUGCAGAGGAGGCUGGGCUUUGGGCCUCCCGUACAGCUGCAGGUGGGCCUGGGUCAGGGGUGGAGGGGCUGACAGAGGGUUUGUGUUCCAGGCUGUGUCACAGUGUAUUGUGUUCGGCGGAGGGACCCAUCUGACCGUCCUCGGUCAGCCCAAGUCGGCCCCCUCGGUCACACUCUUCCCACCCUCCAGUGAGGAGCUCAGCGCAAACAAGGCCACCCUGGUGUGCCUCAUCAGUGACUUCUACCCCAGCGGCUUGACGGUGGCCUGGAAGGAAGAUGGCACCCCCAUCACCAAGGGCGUGGAGACCACCAAGCCCUCCAGACAGAGCAACAACAAGUACGCGGCCAGCAGCUACCUGAGCCUGUCACCGAGCCAGUGGAAAUCUCAUAGCAGAUACACCUGCCAGGUCACGCACGAGGGGAGCACUGUGGAGAAGAGUGUGGUCCCUGCAGAGUGCCCUUAGGUUCCCAAGGCUUCCAGGAUGGGGGCCUUCCUCACCAGACACCCCUUCCCCUGCCCACUGUGUAGCCCUGUGAACCAACCCCUGGAUCAGCUCAGACCAGGCAGGUCACACGCCCUCCCUAUUUCUACUUGUGCUCAAUAAAGACCUUAGCACAUAUCACUGA